GUGGCCUAGUGGUUAAAGUGUCCGCAUUAGACGCGGGAGGUCGCGGGUUAGAAUCCUCGCUAAAUCA